rnacentral:lncRNA from 1 species
UCGGUCCUGGGGUGCGAUUCACUAAGAAAAAACAUCUUUACAACCAAGAAAUCAUCGUUGUAACAUCAGAUGUAAACUGGGCGGUAUUCAUUAGUUAAAAUUGCGCGACCGUAGCGCCUCAACGAUGUUGACGGCGUGACAUAGAACUAACAUUUGGAGCCAAAUGUAUGAAAAACGGUAUUCAGCAACACGAAACAUCCUCGCCUGCAACGACAACCUCGCCUUCGCCCUCGAUUUUAUCUGUCAAACCGAAAAGCUUGUAAAUUGUGGAUGUUUUCUUGGAUGAAGGCGAUUAAAAUAUGGCAGUUCGUCUUUCCUGUACCUACUUAUGAUUUUUUUGUUGGAAGAAACUAAACAUCAAGAUAAUUAAAUAAAUAAAAAGUCACGCCUCCGUGAUACGUAAUAUAGAUUUACUAACUACUGAUAAAAACUAUAUUAAGGUUGACUGAAGAACAGAUUAGACAGUUGAAAGAAGAUUUCUCCUUUCCUAACAAAGGCGAAUCGUUAAGGAGG